rnacentral:lncRNA from 1 species
AAAUCCAUGUUAUCUUGUUGUGUUAUUCAUUUGUGUGUUGUUUUGAGAAAAAUGGGUUUUUAUAUGAUUUAAUGAAUUAAUGAUGAUGAAUCUUGAUGAUUUGGUGUUGAUUGUUGAUGGAAUGAUGUUUGUUGAGGUUCAAAUAUCAUGAGUGUUGAUUAGUUAAGUCUUAUGACUAAUGGGAUUCAAAUUGGGUUUUUGGAAAAUCAAAGAUUGAAUUUUUAUAGUUUAAGAAAAACUGUUUUUGAUAAAGUCUGAAGCAAAAACGUGAAAA